UACGUAGGGUGCAAGCGUUGUCCGGAAUUAUUGGGCGUAAAGAGCUCGUAGGCGGUCUGUCGCGUCGGCUGUGAAAACCCGGAGCUCAACUCCGGGCCUGCAGUCGAUACGGGCAGACUGGAGUUCGGCAGGGGAGACUGGAAUUCCUGGUGUAGCGGUGAAAUGCGCAGAUAUCAGGAGGAACACCGGUGGCGAAGGCGGGUCUCUGGGCCG
rnacentral:rRNA from 1 species